UACGUAGGCAGCAAGCGUUGUUCGGAGUUACUGGGCGUAAAGGGUGCGUAGGCGGCUCUAUAAGUAUGGUGUGAAAUCUCCCGGCUUAACUGGGAGGGUGCGCUAUAGACUGUGGGGCUAGAGUGUGGGAGAGGAAAGUGGAAUUCCUGGUGUAGCGGUGAAAUGCGUAGAUAUCAGGAGGAACACCGGUGGUGUAAACGGCGCACUGGACCACAACUGACGCUGAGGCGCGAAAGCUAGGGGAGCAAACAGG
rnacentral:rRNA from 1 species